rnacentral:rRNA from 1 species
UUUGCCAGCGAGUAAUGUCGGGAACUCCAGGGAGACUGCCGGUGAUAAACCGGAGGAAGGUGGGGACGACGUCAAGUCAUCAUGGCCCUUACGAGUAGGGCUACACACGUGCUACAAUGGGGCAUACAGAGGGCAGCCAACUUGCGAAAGUGAGCGAAUCCCAAAAAGUGCGUCGUAGUCCGGAUUGGAGUCUGCAACUCGACUCCAUGAAGUCGGAAUCGCUAGUAAUCGUGGAUCAGAAUGCCACGGUGAAUACGUUCCCGGGCCUUGUACACACCGCCCGUCACACCAUGGGAGUGGGCUGCAAAAGAAGUAGGUAGUUUAACCUUCGGGGGGACGCUUACCACUUUGUGGUUCAUGACUGGGGUGAAGUCGUAACAAGGUAGCGCUAGGGGAACCUGGCGCUGGAUCACCUCCUUAAACGAUGAU